rnacentral:rRNA from 1 species
UACGGGGGGAGCAAGCGUUGUUCGGAUUUACUGGGCGUAAAGGGCGCGUAGGCGGUCGUGACAAGUCACUUGUGAAAUCUCCGGGCUUAACUCGGAACGGUCAAGUGAUACUGUCGGACUAGAGUACAGAAGGGGCAACUGGAAUUCUCGGUGUAGCGGUGAAAUGCGUAGAUAUCGAGAGGAACACCUGCGGCGAAGGCGGCCGCCUGGUUGGAUACUGACGCUGAGACGCGAAAGCGUGGGGAGCAAACAGG